ACUGCGAUAAGUAAUGUGAAUUGCAGAAUUCAGUGAAUCAUCGAGUCUUUGAACGCACAUUGCGCCCCCUGGCAUUCCGGGGGGCAUGCCUGUCCGAGCGUCAUUGCUGCACUUCAAGCCCGGCUUGUGUGUUGGGUCGUCGUCCCCUCCGGGGGACGGGCCCGAAAGGCAGUGGCGGCACCGCGUCCGGUCCUCGAGCGUAUGGGGCUUUGUCACCCGCUCGAUAAGGACCGGCCGGGCGCCAGCCGGCGUCUCCAACCUUUUUUUCUCAGGUUGACCUCGGAUCAGGUAGGGAUACCCGCUGAACUUAAGC
rnacentral:misc_RNA from 1 species